GAUGAACGCUGGCGGCGUGCCUAAUACAUGCAAGUCGAGCGAACGGACGAGAAGCUUGCUUCUCUGAUGUUAGCGGCGGACGGGUGAGUAACACGUGGAUAACCCACCUAUAAGACUGGGAUAACUUCGGGAAACCGUAGCUAAUACCGGAUAAUAUUUUGAACCGCAUGGUUCAAAAGUGAAAGACGGUCUUGCUGUCACUUAUAGAUGGAUCCGCGCUGCAUUAGCUAGUUGGUACGGUAAAGGCUUACCAAGGCAACGAUGCAUAGCCGACCUGCGAGGGGGAUCGGCCACACUGGAACUGAGACACGGUCCAGACUCCUACGGGAGGCAGCAGUAGGGAAUCUUCCGCAAUGGGCGAAAGCCUGACGGAGCAACGCGGCGUGAGUGAUGAAGGUCUUCGGAUCGUAAAACUCUGUUAUUAGGGAAGAACAUAUGUGUAAGUAACUGUGCACAUCUUGACGGUACCUAAUCAGAAAGCCACGGCUAACUACGUG
rnacentral:rRNA from 1 species